UCGCUUUUGGACAUAAAGAUGACCUUGACACAGGCACUGACUUUUUCUUCUUUGUAGUAAGUGCUACAUGUUGGGGUAAUUUUGGUGU
rnacentral:pre_miRNA from 1 species